AGACCCUGCAGCUCUCAGACUGGGGCGGCCCUCUCCCUUGCCCUCCUCUGCUCGGCUGUGAUUUCGCUGUGCUUCUGUGGGAGAAAAUGCUAUAAGUGACUCUAUGGACAUCCGUAAAAAUAAAUGCCAGCUACUAUGACUAUUCAGGUGUACAGGUGACAUGCGAUAUUCAGAAAGAAGCUAAGAGUCUGGGGUUGCAUCAUCCUCCCCAGACAGGAAUGGGCUGAUGGCACUCUGCUCAGAAUAUCUCCUGGUUCCCUGUACAUGCAGGAUGAACACCCGCCCGAAAAGUCUUCCACAGCGCGGCCACUCCUCUCCCUCUUCCUUUCACCCUGAGGCCUGCUGCACUCCUCACCUGCUCCAGGAGAGCAGAGCCUGUGGUUUCCUGGCCCAAUGGACCUUCCCCAUCUCCAGACAUGCUUUACACAUCUCCAGCCCAGAGCCUUCGCACAAGCCUUUCCUGCUGUGUUCACUGUGUUGAAUUCCUGUUCCUCUUCCUUAUCCAGGCUCAGUUCUCACUCCUAAUUUAAUGAUGUGGCAAGUCUCUGAGUUAGAGAUAGCUCUCAUCUGUAUCAGGGGAGAACUAAUAUACACAACAACAAUAGCGCACAUUGAUCAAUUACUGACUGUGCCAGGCACUGUUCUGUGCAUGUGCUCUGCAUGUACAAUUCUGGUUUCCUCAGAAUCACACUGAGAUGUAGCCACUAUUAUUAUCCCCAUUUUUCAAUAAGGAAACUAAAGUGGCCCAAAGAAUGUAAGAAACUGGCCCAAAGCCACCCCCCUAGUAAGAGGUGGAGAGAAGAUGAGGAUGCUGGUCCUCUGGCUCAGGCUGCUCCUCAAGGUCUCGGUGGGGAGAAAGAGGUAAGGAAUGUGAAGUGUUGGGCACAAAAGCAAACCACGGUUCUCCUCCCACCCUCCCCACCAGAGUUUACCUGGAAAUGGUUAUUUUGUGUCUUUUCCCUUGAAUAUAUUAUUAAAUCCCCAAGAACAGGAAUUGGCUCUUACUCAUCUUCAUGUUUCUCCAGCCACCAGCCCAGGUUUUACUCAUAGUAGGUGCUCACACUAAAAAGAAGAAAGAAAAGAGAAAAAGUUCUUCUGUGCCUUGAAAGUGCGAAGUGAAGGCUACAAUCUGGGACAAGAGAAAAUGAGCAGUACGGCACGGUACUUAAAGCCUGGAUUUCUGGAGCCAAACAAGCAGAUCAAAUUGCAGCUUCACUUACAGCUGUGUGACCUUGGGCAAGCUGCUUAUCUCUUUGUGCCCCAGUGAGUUGUCUCAUAUAUACACAUGCAUGUACAGUCGUCCCUCAGUAUCUAAAGGGAUUGGUUCCGGGACCUCCUUCGGAUUCCAAAAUCCAUGGAUGCUCAAGUCCCUGCUGUGAAAUGGCAUAGAAUUUGCAUAUAACCUACAAACAUCCUCCCAUGUACUUGUUUUUUUGUUUGUUUGUUUGUUUGUUUGUUUGAGAUGGAGUUUUGCUUUUGUCGCCCAGGCUGGAGUGCAGUGGUGUGAUCUCUGCUCACUGCAAGCUCCGCCUCCUGGGUUCAAGCGAUUCUCCUGCCUCAGCCUCCUGAGUAGCUGGGACUUCAGGCGCAUGCCACCAUACCCUGCUAAUUUUUGUAUUUUUAGUAGAGACAGGGUUUCACCAUGUUGGCCAGACUGGUCUCCAUCUCCUGACCUCAUGAUCCACCCCCCUCGGCCUCCCAAAGUGCUGGGAUUACAGGCAUGAGCUACUAUGCCCGGCCCUCCCAUGUACUUCAAAUCAUCUCUAGAUUACUUAUAAUACCUAAUACAAUGUAAAUGCUAUGAAAAUAGCUAUUAUACUGUAUCGUUUAGGGAAUAAUGACAAGAAAAAAGUCUGUACAUGUUCAGUACAGACACAAUUUCUUUUAAAAUAUUUUCAAUCUGAGGUUGGUUGAAUCCAUGGUGGAGGAACUCCUGGAUAUGGCUACAGAGCGCUGACUGAGUCAUACUCAGCAUAACAACAUUGAGGUCAACAAGGGACUGCAAAUAUGGUAGUGGUCUCAUAAGAUUAUAAUGGAACUGAAGAUUUCUAUCACCUAGUAACUUCAUAGUGUCAUAGCGCAAUGCAUCCCUAGCAUGUGUGUGUGGUGAUGCUGGUAUAAAGAAGCCUACUAUGCUGCCAGUCAUGUAAAAGUGUAGCACAUACUAUUAUGUACAGUGCAUAAUACCUGAUCAUUAUAACAAACAGCUAUGUUACUGGCUUAUGAAUUUGCUAUACUAUACUUUUUAUUAUUAUUUUAGAGUGUACUCCUUCUACCUAUAAAAAAGUUAACUGUAAAACCAAUUACAGAUAGAUAGACAGAUAGAUGAAUAGGUGGAUGGAUAAGUGGAUGGAUAGAUGGAUAGAUAGACGGAUGGAUGGAUGGAUGAUAGAUGGACGAAUAGAUAGAUAGAUAGAUAGAUAGAUAGAUAGAUAGAUAGAUAAUCACAGUGUUACUUUGAGGAAUGAAUGAAUGAAUAUAUGCAAAGCACUUGGAACAGUGUCUGAACCAUGGGAAAGGCUCGAUGUGUUUGCUAUCAUUAUAAUUCUGUAUCUUAGCCCAACAAAUGGAACAUGAGUUAUUAACCACCUACCUUCUGAGAAAAUGAUAAUAAAAGAGCUUAUCUGCAAAUAGUACCUUC